rnacentral:rRNA from 1 species
GACGAACGCUGGCGGCGUGCUUAACACAUGCGAGUCGUACGGUAAGGUCCUUUCGGGGGUCCACGAGUGGCGACCGGGUGAGUAACACGUGAGUAACCUUCCCACAACUUUGGGAUAACGCUAGGAAACUGGUGCUAAUACUGGAUAUGUGCCCCUGCUGCAUGGUGGGGGUUGGAAAGCUCCGGCGGUUGUGGAUGGACUGGCGGCCUAUCAGCUUGUUGGUGGGGUAGUGGGCUACCAAGGCGGCGAGGGGUAGCCGCCCUGAGAGGGUGACCGGCGACAUUGGGACUGAGAUACGGCCCAGACUCCGACGGGAGGCAGCAGGGGGGAAUAUUGCACAAUGGGCGCAAGCCUGAUGAAGCAACGCCGCGUGCGGGAUGACGGCCUUAGGGUUGAAAACCGCUUGCAGCAGGGACGAAGCUUUUUGUGACGGUACCUGCAGAAGAAGCACCGGCUAACUACGUG